rnacentral:misc_RNA from 1 species
GAAUAUUUUACUGCACAAUUAGGCAUACAAUUUUUGAACUCGAUGCUUUUCUGCUGAUAUGCGAUGUGCCCAUUGGUGCGUACAAAUUGUCUCUUCAAGGUCUCUGGUUACUGCUAUGCUAUGAGAGUAGGUAGGUUUUUAAGUUGGAUGGCCUCUGCUUUCUGACCUACGAUUAUGCCUCAUUACAAGUUUGCCACUGCCUCCAAUGCCAUGAGAUCGGGGAAGUACCUCAAACCUUUCUUCCUUUUCG